UACAGAGGGUGCUAGCGUUGUUCGGAAUCAUUGGGCGUAAAGGGCGUGUAGGCGGUUUGUUAAGUCAUGUGUGAAAUCCCUCGGCUCAACCGGGGAACGACGCAUGAAACUGGCAAGCUAGAGUACCAAAGAGGGGGGUGGAAUUCCCGGUGUAGCGGUGAAAUGCGUAGAUAUUAGGAAGAACACCAGUGGCGAAGGCGGCUCACUGGUCCGGUACUGACGCUGAGGUGCGAAAGCGUGGGGAGCAAACAGG
rnacentral:rRNA from 1 species